rnacentral:rRNA from 1 species
GAUGAACGCUGACAGAAUGCUUAACACAUGCGAGUCAACUUGAAUUUGGGUUUUUAACUUCGGUUUGGGUGGCGGACGGGUGAGUAACGCGUAAAGAACUUGCCUCACAGCUAGGGACAACAUUUGGAAACGAAUGCUAAUACCUAAUAUUAUGAUAAUAGGGCAUCCUAUAAUUAUGAAAGCUAUAAGCGCUGUGAGAGAGCUUUGCGUCCCAUUAGCUAGUUGGAGAGGUAACGGCUCACCAAGGCGAUGAUGGGUAGCCGGCCUGAGAGGGUGAUCGGCCACAAGGGGACUGAGACACGGCCCUUACUCCUACGGGAGGCAGCAGUGGGGAAUAUUGGACAAUGGACCGAGAGUCUGAUCCAGCAAUUCUGUGUGCACGAUGAAGUUUUUCGGAAUGUAAAGUGCUUUCAGUUGGGAAGAAACAAAUGACGGUACCAACAGAAGAAGUGACGGCUAAAUACGU